UGGGGAAUAUUGCACAAUGGGGGAAACCCUGAUGCAGCGACGCCGCGUGAACGAAGAAGGUAUUCGUAUCGUAAAGUUCUGUCCUAUGGGAAGAUAAUGACAGUACCAUAGAAGAAAGCUCCGGCUAAAUACGUGCCAGCAGCCGCGGUAAUACGUAUGGAGCGAGCGUUGUCCGGAAUGAUUGGGCGUAAAGGGUACGCAGGCGGUUUAAUAAGUCGAAUGUUAAAGAUCGGGGCUCAACCCCGUAAAGCAUUGGAAACUGAUAAACUAGAGUAGUGGAGAGGAAAGUGGAAUUCCUAGUGUAGUGGUGAAAUGCGUAGAUAUUAGGAGGGAAACCAGAAGAGAAGGCGACUUUGUGGACACAAACUGAAGCUGCGGUACGAAAGCGUAGGGAGCAAACAGG
rnacentral:rRNA from 1 species